rnacentral:rRNA from 1 species
UACGUAGGGUGCAAGCGUUAUCCGGAGUUACUGGGCGUAAAGGGCGUGUAGGCGGAUCGGUAAGUCUACUCUGAAAGCUCCUGGCUAAACUGGGAGCGGCGAGUGGAGACUGUCGGUCUAGAGUGAGGAAGAGGAAAGUGGAAUUCCUCGUGUAGUGGUGAAAUGCGUAGAGAUGCGGAGGAACACCAGUGGCGAAAGCGGCUUUCUGGUCCUGAACUGACGCUGAGGCGCGAAAGCAUGGGGAGCGAACGGG